rnacentral:rRNA from 1 species
CAGUCGCCGCGGGAAUACGAAGGGUGCAAGCGUUACUCGGAAUUACUGGGCGUAAAGCGUGCGUAGGUGGUGGUUUAAGUCUGUUGUGAAAGCCCUGGGCUCAACCUGGGAAUUGCAGUGGAUACUGGGUCACUAGAGUGUGGUAGAGGAUAGUGGAAUUUCCGGUGUAGCAGUGAAAUGCGUAGAGAUCGGAAGGAACAUCUGUGGCGAAGGCGACUAUCUGGGCCAACACUGACACUGAGGCACGAAAGCGUGGGGAGCAAACAGGAUUAGAUACCCCUGUAGUCCCUGUCUCUUAUAC